CUCAGGCAGGGCCUGGUAUCCCCCAUGCAGAUGUUGUGGCCCUGCUAGAUCUUGGAGGAGAGCCCUGGAUGCAAGGCAGAGGUCUCUCCCAACAUUCCCGCUCAGAUAGAGCGGAAGGGAGAGAGAAAAACAUUGAUGUGAGAGAGAAACAUGGAUCGGUUGCCUCCCACAUGUGCCCUGACCAGGGAUGGAAUCUGCAAGCUGGUGGUGUGUGGGAAAAUGCUUCAGGUUCCAACCACCUGAGCCACAGUGGCCAGAGCUAUGAACAUUCUUGUACAAUGCUUUCAGUGGACCUAUUGUUUUUAUUUCUCUCAGAGCUAGGCUUCUGCCUUUCAUCAUUUCCAUUCAGC